rnacentral:rRNA from 1 species
CUCCAACGAGCGCAACGGACGAAAGUCUGACGGAGCAACGCCGCGUGAGUGAUGAAGGCCCUAGGGUUGUAAAGCUCUUUCACCGGAGAAGAUAAUGACGGUAUCCGGAGAAGAAGCCCCGGCUAACUUCGUGCCAGCAGCCGCGGUAAUACGAAGGGGGCUAGCGUUGUUCGGAAUUACUGGGCGUAAAGCGCACGUAGGCGGACAUUUAAGUCAGGGGUGAAAUCCCGGGGCUCAACCCCGGAACUGCCUUUGAUACUGGGUGUCUUGAGUGUGGAAGAGGUCAGUGGAAUUGCGAGUGUAGAGGUGAAAUUCGUAGAUAUUCGCAGGAACACCAGUGGCGAAGGCGGCUGACUGGUCCAUUACUGACGCUGAGGUGCGAAAG